UACGGAGGGUGCAAGCGUUGUUCGGAAUUACUGGGCGUAAAGGGCGCGCAGGCGGCCUGCCAAGUCAGAUGUGAAAUGCCAUGGCUUAACCAUGGACGUGCAUUUGAAACUGGGUAUCUUGAGGACAGGAGAGGAAAGCGGAAUUCCUAGUGUAGCGGUGAAAUGCGUAGAUAUUAGGAGGAACACCAGUGGCGAAGGCGGCUUUCUGGACUGUAACUGACGCUGAGGCGCGAAAGCGUGGGGAGCAAACGGGGAUUAGAUACCCCCGUA
rnacentral:rRNA from 1 species